UACGUAGGGAGCGAGCGUUGUCCGGAUUCAUUGGGCGUAAAGAGCUCGUAGGCGGCUUGAUAAGUCGGAUGUGAAACCUCCAGGCUCAACCUGGAGUCGGCAUCCGAUACUGUCAUAGCUAGAGUCCGGUAGGGGCCCACGGAACUCCUGGUGUAGCGGUGAAAUGCGCAGAUAUCAGGAGGAACACCGAUGGCGAAGGCAGGUCUCUGGGCCACUACUGACGCUGAGAAGCGAAAGCAUGGGGAGCGAACAGG
rnacentral:rRNA from 1 species